GACGAACGCUGGCGGCGUGCUUAACACAUGCAAGUCGAACGGUAAGGCCCUUCGGGGUACACGAGUGGCGAACGGGUGAGUAACACGUGGGUGAUCUGCCCUGCACUUCGGGAUAAGCCUGGGAAACUGGGUCUAAUACCGGAUAGGACCACUGCCUGCAUGGGUGGUGGUGGAAAGCUUUUGCGGUGUGGGAUGGGCCCGCGGCCGAUCAGCUUGUUGGUGGGGUGAUGGCCUACCAAGGCGACGACGGGUAGCCGGCCUGAGAGGGUGGCCGGCCACACUGGGACUGAGAUACGGCCCAGACUCCUACGGGAGGCAGCAGUGGGGAAUAUUGCACAAUGGGCGCAAGCCUGAUGCAGCGACGCCGCGUGAGGGAUGACGGCCUUCGGGUUGUAAACCUCUUUCAGCACCGACGAAGCGCAAGUGACGGUAGGUGCAGAAGAAGGACCGGCCAACUACGUGCCAGCCGCCGCAGUAA
rnacentral:rRNA from 1 species